GACGAACGCUGGCGGCGUGCCUAAUACAUGCAAGUAGAACGCUGAAGGAGGAGCUUUCUUCUCUUGAUGAUUUGCGAACGGGUGAGUAACGCGUAGGUAACCUGCCUGUUAGCGGGGGAGAACUAUUGGAAACGAUAGCUAAUACCGCAUAAAAGUAGAUGUUGCAUAACGUUUGCUUGAAAGGUGCAAUUUCAUCACUACCAGCUGGACCUUCGUUGUAUUAGCUAGUUGGUGGGGUAACGGCUCAACAAGGCGACCAUAAAUAGCCGACCCGGGAGGGGGGUUGGCCCACCUGGGAACGAGACCCCGCCCCGAAUCCCACGGGAGGCAGCAGUAGGGAAUUCUCGGCAAUGGACGGAAGUCCGACCGAGCCAAGCCGCGUGAGUGAAGAAGGUUUUCGGAUCGUAAAGAUCUGUUGUAAGAGAAGAACGAGUGUGAGAGUGGAAAGUUCACACUGUGACGGUAUCUUACCAGAAAGGGACGGCUAACUACGUG
rnacentral:rRNA from 1 species